UGACAUGGUUGAUGUUGUAUGAUGGUGUAUGGGUUUGGUAUGAGACAAUAUAGUAAGAAUGCACUUGAAUGACUAUGAAAUUUUAUGUUUGAUGAAUUAAAGUGGUUUAUGAGGUACAUUAUUGAUUCAAGAGGAAUAUCAUGUGAUUUAAAGUGGUUAGAUUUAAUAUGAAAUUAAGAUCUCUCGGUGAGAUCAGUUAGUGUAUUGAAUGAAUGUGAGAGGCUUCCAUAUGGGGGGGUUAUUCCUAACACUCCAACGGUCUUCAUUCUCACUUAGAAAGGAUUGACGCGUGUGGUGGGAGUAGUGGGAGGUCCUAGGGUAGGCGCUAUCACUAGAGGUCUAUUCUACGGUAACAGACUAGCUUUGUGUGUGGUCAGGUGGAACCCCUCGGCAAUAUCACUAGAGGUCUAUUCUGCGGUAACAGACUUUGCAAAGCAGUAGAGGCCACCACAAGUGCACAACCCGCCCUAGCUCUACAUACAUUCCAUGUCCGG
rnacentral:lncRNA from 1 species